GACGAACGCUGGCGGCGUGCUUAACACAUGCAAGUCGAACGGAAAGGCCUCUUUCGGGGGGUACUCGAGUGGCGAACGGGUGAGUAACACGUGAGUAACCUGCCCUUGACUUUGGGAUAACUUCAGGAAACUGGGGCUAAUACCGGAUAGGAGCUCCUGCUGCAUGGUGGGGGUUGGAAAGUUUCGGCGGUUGGGGAUGGACUCGCGGCUUAUCAGCUUGUUGGUGGGGUAGUGGCUUACCAAGGCUUUGACGGGUAGCCGGCCUGAGAGGGUGACCGGCCACAUUGGGACUGGGAGACGGCCCAGACUCCUACGGGAGGCAGCAGUGGGGAAUAUUGCACAAUGGGUGGAAGCCUGAUGCAGCAACGCCGUGUGCGGGAUGACGGCCUUCGGGUUGUAAACCGCUUUCGCUCAUGACGAAGCUUUGUGUGACGGUAGUGGGUAAAGAAGCACCGGCUAACUACGUG
rnacentral:rRNA from 1 species